rnacentral:rRNA from 2 species
UAGUGCAAUGGCAUAAGCCAGCUUGACUGCGAGCGUGACGGCGCGAGCAGGUGCGAAAGCAGGUCAUAGUGAUCCGGUGGUUCUGAAUGGAAGGGCCAUCGCUCAACGGAUAAAAGGUACUCCGGGGAUAACAGGCUGAUACCGCCCAAGAGUUCAUAUCGACGGCGGUGUUUGGCACCUCGAUGUCGGCUCAUCACAUCCUGGGGCUGAAGUAGGUCCCAAGGGUAUGGCUGUUCGCCAUUUAAAGUGGUACGCGAGCUGGGUUUAGAACGUCGUGAGACAGUUCGGUCCCUAUCUGCCGUGGGCGCUGGAGAACUGAGGGGGGCUGCUCCUAGUACGAGAGGACCGGAGUGGACGCAUCACUGGUGUUCGGGUUGUCAUGCCAAUGGCACUGCCCGGUAGCUAAAUGCGGAAGAGAUAAGUGCUGAAAGCAUCUAAGCACGAAACUUGCCCCGA